CAGGCAGCGUGUGAGGCCAGGCUCACAGAGCAGCGGCCUCACCAGUGCCGGCGGU
rnacentral:SRP_RNA from 1 species